AAAAACAAAAAAACACUUCAGUGGUUCUAAGUAUAUUCCCAGGGUUGGGUCACCAUCACCAGUAUCUAAUGCCAGAACAUUCUCAUCAUCCCAAAAAGAAGCCCCCUGCCCAAUAACAGGCACUCCCAACCCCCCAGCCCCUGCAACCCUAAUCUGCUCCCUGUCUCUCCAGGUCUGCCUGUUCCGGACAUUUCGUAUGAAUGGAGUCAUACGCUGUGUGACCUUUGUCUGGCUCCUUUCACUGAACCUCGUGUUUUUAAGGGCACCUACCACCAUCUAAACUCCACGAUGGAAGGGAUUUUCCAGAACCUAAAUUGGUACCUGCCCUCUGGAAGCCCUCAGUUGGUACUUGCUGUGUGAAUGGUCACAUGGCUCUAACCUCCAGACCCGAUGAUAGAGAAGUACAAAGUGCUUAGGAGUAAGACGUCAUGAUGUCUGUACUUCACCAUGAAAUUACUUCAGCAAAGACGAAAAUAAAUGAAGCAAUAGGCAGAUGCCUACAAUAACCAAGCCCAGGUGCUGUGUCGGUGUUGCCUGUCCUUGAACUUUACGAAGAUGGAUCACAGCACUCGCUCUUCGUGUGUCACUUCUCUCAGGAAGCAUCGUGUCUGUAAGAUUCACCCAUGAGUUGCAUCAUCCUCUGGCUUUUGCAAAACAGUCUUAGCGCAUAUAGAACAUGUACACGUGUUUGUCUAGGUGUAUACAUACCUGUAGACAUUGUAUCUUUCAGUUUUGCUUGUUUCUGAGCUCUAUGAAACAGCAUCACAGUGCAGAAGAAACAUCAGCCUAAGAAAGUAUGGAACCCACUGGCAGAGGCAAAUACAGAGACGGACACCGGACCCUCGACGACUGUGACGGCACAGGGAAGUCACUUUUAAUUCCAGUAUAAAGUUACAGGACAAAGUAUUACAAAAUAACUGUAACUAAAAAAUAUUUUUAAAAGAUACACACCAUGAACAGAUAUAAAUUGUGACAACAGCAUCAUAGAAUGUAUGUGCGGGGGCAGCUAACAUGUAGGGGUUUUUAUAGGAUUGGACGUAAGUUAUCAGCUUAAAAUAGACUUUUAUAAGAUAUUUUAUGUAAGUCCCAAGGUAACCACAGAAAAUACCUCUACACUUACACGAGAAGGAGAAAGGAAUCAAAGCAUAUCAAUAUUUAAAAAA